GCACAAAUAGCUCAAUUGGAUAGAGCAUCCCGAUUGCAAAUCGGGAAGGUUAGGGGUUCGACUCCCUUCAAGUGCA
rnacentral:tRNA from 1 species